AUUGAACGCUGGCGGCAGGCCUAACACAUGCAAGUCGAGCGAGUGGCGGACGGGUGAGUAAUGUAUGGGAAUCUGCCCGAUAGAGGGGGAUAACUACUGGAAACGGUGGCUAAUACCGCAUACUAUCGGAUGAACCCCUAUGGGAUUAGCUAGUAGGUGGGGUAACGGCUCACCUAGGCGACGAUCCCUAGCUGGUCUGAGAGGAGGAUCAGCCACACUGGAACUGAGACACGGCCCAGACUCCUACGGGAGGCAGAAGUGGGGAAUAUGGAACAAUGGGCGCAAGCCUGAUGCAGCCAUGCCGCGUGUAUGAAGAAGGCAUUAGGGUUGUAAAGGACUUUCAGCGAGGAGGCGUUACCCGCAGAAGAAGCACCGGCUAACUCCGUGCCAGCCGCCGCGGUAAUUC
rnacentral:rRNA from 1 species